rnacentral:rRNA from 1 species
AGGGAUCAUUAGAGAGUGCCCUACUCCCAAAACCCAUGUGAACUUACCUGUACGUUGCCUCGGCGGGGGAGGGGCUGGCCACCCCCCCUCCGCCAGGCGGCCCACCAAACCCUGUUUAGCCCUGAAUCUCUGAGACGAUAAAACAAUGAGUUAAAACUUUCAACAACGGAUCUCUUGGCUCUGGCAUCGAUGAAGAACGCAGCGAAAUGCGAUACGUAGUGUGAAUUGCAGAAUUUAGUGAAUCAUUGAAUCUUUGAACGCACAUUGCGCCCGCCAGUAUUCUGGCGGGCAUGCCUGUUCGAGCGUCAUUUCAACCCCUUAAGCCCUUGUCGCUUAGUGUUGGGAGCCGACGGCGUCCUGCCGUCGCUCCUCAAAUCCAGUGGCGGAGCCGGUUUCGCGCUCUGGGCGUAGUAGAUUUUCUCCAUCUCGCCUGCAGCCGGGGCCGGCCUCCCUGCCGUAAAACCACCACCAAUGUACCCAAAGGUUGACCUCGAAUCAGGUAGGAAUACCCGCUGAACUUAAGCAUAUCAAUAAGCGGAGGAAAAGAAACCAACAGGGAUUGCCCCAGUAACGGCGAGUGAAGCGGCAACAGCUCAAAUUUGAAAUCUGGCCCUCGGGUCCGAGUUGUAAUUUGUAGAGGAUGCUUUUGGCGCGGUGCCUUCCGAGUUCCCUGGAACGGGACGCCUUAGAGGGUGAGAGCCCCGUACGGUUGGACACCAAGCCUCUGUAAAGCGCCUUCGACGAGUCGAGUAGUUUGGGAAUGCUGCUCUAAAUGGGAGGUAAAUUUCUUCUAAAGCUAAAUAUUGGCCAGAGACCGAUAGCGCACAAGUAGAGUGAUCGAAAGAUGAAAAGCACUUUGAAAAGAGGGUUAAACAGCACGUGAAAUUGUUGAAAGGGAAGCGUUUGCGACCAGACCUCUCCCCGGCGGAUCAUCCGGCGUUCUCGCCGGUGCACUUCGCCGGGCUGAGGCCAGCAUCGGUUUCCGCGGGGGGACAAAAGCGGGGGGAACGUAGCUCCCUCGGGAGUGUUAUAGCCCCCCGCAUAAUACCCUCGCGGGGACCGAGGACCGCGCUUCGGCAAGGAUGCUGGCGUAAUGGUCGUCAACGACC